UACGGAGGAUCCGAGCGUUAUCCGGAAUCAUUGGGUUUAAAGGGUCCGUAGGCGGCCCUGUAAGUCAGUGGUGAAAUCUCACGGCUCAACCGUGAAAUUGCCAUUGAUACUGCAGGGCUUGAAUUGUUGGGAAGUAACUAGAAUAUGUAGUGUAGCGGUGAAAUGCUUAGAUAUUACAUGGAAUACCGAUUGCGAAGGCAGGUUACUACCAAUGGAUUGACGCUGAUGGACGAAAGCGUGGGGAGCGAACAGG
rnacentral:rRNA from 1 species